rnacentral:tRNA from 1 species
GCGCGGGUGGCGAAAUGGCAGACGCGCUAGAUUUAGGAUCUAGUGCCGGAAGGCAUGGGGGUUCGAGUCCCCCCUCGCGCA